rnacentral:misc_RNA from 1 species
AGGCACUGUGUAGGUAACAAUUAUAUCCCCAAUCCAGUAAACUAGGGCACAAAUGGCAAUGCAGAGGCCUCGAGCCCUGGUGGGGAAGAUCUCAGAGCAAAGGAUAUUAGGAAUUGGCCCAUAAGCCAUUACAAAGCAGCAGAAGUAGAUGACAACACAAAUGUGGUUGAGAUUGCUGCAUUGGCGACAGUACCCAAGUCCACGAGUUGGCCAAUUAUUAGGACGAUGAGGGAGCCUAUAAGCACAGGAAGUGUGGUGAGUAGCAGGGUCCUUCUGCCUGAGAUAUCCAUUAGCCUCAUGCCUACGGCUAUACAAGGUAGCAUCAGAAAUGUUGUGAAUGCACUAAU